rnacentral:rRNA from 1 species
GUACGGGAGGCAGCAGUUUCGAAUCAUUCACAAUGGGCGAAAGCCUGAUGGUGCGACGCCGCGUGAGGGAUGAAGGCCUUCGGGUUGUAAACCUCUGUCACCGGGGAAGAAACACUUUGAGUUAAUAGUUCAAAGUCUGACUUAACCCGGAGAGGAAGCAGUGGCUAACUCUGUGCCAGCAGCCGCGGUAAUACAGAGACUGCAAGCGUUAUUCGGAUUCACUGGGCGUAAAGGGUGCGCAGGCGGCCGAGUGUGUCAGAUGUGAAAUCCCGAGGCUUAACCUCGGAACUGCGUCUGAAACUACUUGGCUAGAGUAUUGGAGAGGGUAACGGAAUUCACGGUGUAGCAGUGAAAUGCGUAGAUAUCGUGAGGAACACCAGAGGCGAAGGCGGUUACCUGGACAAUUACUGACGCUCAGGCACGAAAGCGUGGGGAGCAAAAGGGAUUAGAUACCCCGGU